CCCUUAGAUGUUCUGGGCCGCACGCGCGCUACACUGAUGCAUUCAACGAGUCUAAAACCUGCUCUGAUAGGGGUGGGUAAUCUUUUGAAUGUGCAUCGUGAUUGGGAUAGAUGAUUGCAAUUUUUCAUCUUCAACGAGGAAUGCCUAGUAAACGCAAGUCAUCAGCUUGCAUUGAUUACGUCCCUGCCCUUUGUACACACCGCCCGUCGCUCCUACCGAUUGAAUGAUCCGAUGAAUAUCAUGGAUUGAGGAUACAAGUAGGUUCGCCUAUCUUCAUCUUCGAGAAGUGAAGUAAAUCUUAUCAUUUAGAGGAAGGAGAAGUCGUAACA
rnacentral:rRNA from 1 species